GAUGAACGCUAGCGGCAUGCCUAACACAUGCAAGUCGAGGGAGCAGCCCUUUCGGUUGCUGCACCCGGGUCACGGGUGCGUAACGCGUAUACAACCUCCCUUUCACACUAUGAUAGCCCGAAAAAUUUUGGAUUAAUACCCCAUAAUCUUUUUGUAUAUCAUCAUUUGUCAAUUAAAACUGCGAUGGUGUAUGAUGGGCAUGCGUCCUAUUAGCUAGUUGGCGUUGUAACGGCACCCCAAGGCUACGAUAGGUAGGGGUCAGGAGAGGGAGAUCCCCCACACAGGGACUGAGACAGGGACCAGAAUCCGACGGGAGGCAGCAGUGAGGAAUAAUGGGCAAGGGAGGGAAGACUGAAAAAGCCAUGCCGAGGGAAGGAAGAAUGCCUUAUGGGUUGUAAACUGCUUUUAAAGGGGAAGAAUAAGGCGUACGUGGACGUUGAUGACGGUACCAAAUGAAUAAGCAUCGGCUAACUACGUG
rnacentral:rRNA from 1 species